UAUUUCCCAGACUACCUGAAUCCCCCAGACAGAAGGAUUUAUCCUCGCAGAUGUUUGGAAGUUUGUCACUUGAUGGCUCUCAGCUCUCAUCCCUCGUCAGGAAUUGCCUCAGGCCAGGGUCGAAUCCCCUUUCCCAGGCAGCCUGUAUCCAAUUACUGAUCAAUGAAGAGUGUAAAGGCCAAGCCCUGGCUGCUCAACUUAGGACAACUCUGAAGGGUCAUUCCAGCUGCAGAAACCCUCAAGGAGUGGGCUGAUGCCUUUUCAUGCUUGCACUGCAGCCCAAUUUUACCAUCUGAUAAAUCCUGCUUUUCUUCUUUGGCCCCCAGUUGUCGAUCCUGAGGUAAUGCCCUACUGAACCUUCUGAAUACAAAUCUCCAUCUUAGCUUCUGCUUUCCAGGGAACUCAGCCUGCAAUUGUUGGUACUAAAAAUGAUCUGAGAAAGAAGAUGCUAAGAUGAGAUUUUUGAAGCUGAAUUACCGACCACCUGGUUGAUAAUAAGGGGAUGGGUGGAGCUCAAACAGUCACUGGCUCAAAGUAGCAGAGCAAUUGUUAAAACUUUCACCAAACCUGAACUGACUGGUGUGGUGUACUAGAGGAAAGAUAUGCACUAACAGAUACGAUGUAUUAGGUUUUUGAGAAACAUGGGGGAAUGGUAAUUAUAAGGCAAUACAAUUGGAUGUCAUUGCUAGAGGAAAUUGAUGCUUUGGAAAGAGACAAUGAAAGGCUGAAGAUAAUAUAUCAUUAAAUAAAGGUUAAGUGUGAAAAGAGUAUCUCCAUGGGAUUGUAUAAAGACCCUCUCAUAUCCUGCAACCCAAGGGUACAGAAAGCUAAGGUUUAGACCCAAGACUUAAUAAUAGUAUUAGAAAUUUCCGAAGAAAGUUAAACCCCAGUCUAGUCUUCUAUGCCUGGAGGAAAACAAAGGAGAACACCUGUUAAAGAUGGAGGCACUCUUGCUCUCCUGUAUUUUGCUUGUCUCAACUGUAUUUUGCCUGAAUAUACUGUGUCAGCAAGAUUUUGCAAGGCUUAACCUCAAACCACAGACUUCCUAUUGAGUUAUUUAGGAGAUGGGGAAGUGAUGGGAGGGGUUUGCGGCUGGCUGAAACGUAUAUAAUACCUGCUUUUUCCCAAUAAAUUUGCUUAGUGUGUGCACUAAGCCCCAGAA